rnacentral:rRNA from 1 species
UACGAAGGGUGCAAACGUUGCUCGGAAUUAUUGGGCGUAGAGCGCACGUAGGCGGCUUGGCAAGUCGGAUGUGAAAUCCCUCGGCUCAACCAAGGAAGUGCAUCCGAAACUGCUGAGCUUGAGUACUUAAGAGGAUCGCGGAAUUCCCGGUGUAGAGGUGAAAUUCGUAGAUAUCGGGAGGAACACCAGUGGCGAAGGCGGCGAUCUGGGAAGAUACUGACGCUGAGGUGCGAAAGCGUGGGGAGCAAACAGG